rnacentral:rRNA from 1 species
UACGUAGGGGGCUAGCGUUGUCCGGAAUCAUUGGGCGUAAAGAGCGUGUAGGCGGUCCGGUAAGUCCGCUGUGAAAGUCGGGGGCUCAACCCUCGAAUGCCGGUGGAUACUGUCGGGCUAGAGUGCGGAAGAGGCGAGUGGAAUCCUGGUGUAGCGGUGAAAUGCGCAGAUAUCAGGAGGAACACCUAUUGCGAAGGCAGCUCGCUGGGACGUUACUGACGCUGAGACGCGAAAGCGUGGGGAGCAAACAGG